rnacentral:rRNA from 1 species
CCUACGGGGAGGCAGCAGUGAGGAAUAUUGGUCAAUGGCCGCAGCGCUGAACCAGCCAAGUCGCGUGAGGGAUGACGUCCCUUUGGAUUGUAAACCUCUUUUGUCAGGGAGCAAACGGCGCCACGUGUGGCGCUUUCCUAGUACCUGAAGAAAAAGCAUCGGCUAACUCCGUGCCAGCCGCCGCGGUAAUACGGAGGAUGCGAGCGUUAUCCGGAUUUAUUGGGUUUAAAGGGUGCGCAGGCGGAAUGUCAAGUCAGCGGUAAAAUUUCGGGGCUCAACCCCGUCGUGCCGUUGAAACUGGCGGUCUGGAGUGAGCGAGAAGUAUGCGGAAUGCGUGGUGUAGCGGUGAAAUGCAUAGAUAUCGCGCAGAACUCCGAUUGCGAAGGCAGCAUACCGGCGCUCAACUGACGCUCAUGCACGAAAGCGUGGGUAUCGAACAGGAUUAGAUACCCGUGUAGUC